GUAAAUUUUGUCUCUGAUCUGUCAAAUCCAGCUUCAGAAGCAUAUAAAAACAGAGAAAAGAAAGUCAAAGAUACGUUGACACCACUCUUUACAAAAGCAUUUCCCUCCUUCAAAGGACUGGCAGUUAUUCGGUUCCGUCCGGGGUCAAUCAUCACUGAUAUGAAUGUGACAUUUGGAACCUUACCCAGUGAUGCGAAGAUCGAAAACACUAUUAUGGAAGCUAACGCCACUCUCAAUAUCACCAGUGUAACACUAAGGAAGCCCUUCACCACAACUACCAAAGCCACUACAACCAGUUCCACUACAACUACAACUACAACCACACCUACAACAACAGCAGCAGCAACAACAACAACAACAACCACAACAUCUACAGCCAAUCCUAAUACAACAGCAUCAACAGCAACCACAACAUCUACAGCCAAUCCUAAAACAACAGCAGCAAAAACAACAACAACAACCACAACAACCACAACAUCUACAGCCAAUCCUAAAACAACAGCAGCAAAAACAACAACAACAACCACAACAACCACAACAUCUACAGCCAAUCCUAAAACAACAGCAGCAAAAACAACAACAACAACCACAACAACCACAACAUCUACAGCCAAUCCUAAAACAACAGCAGCAAAAACAACAACAACAACAACAGCAACCACAACCACAACAAAAGCACCAGCACGUCCUCAGCCAACUGUUGAGAUACGGAUUGUCAUUAUAGUGGUGUUUGUUCCAGCACUGUCAAACCCUCAAACUCCAGAAUUUAAAAGCCUUGCCACAAAAGUAGAGACUAUGUUUGAUGAAGUCUAUAAAAAAAAGUUUGGGCCUCGUUUCAUCAGGACCAUCGUGAUUGCUUUCAUAGCCUUUUUCAGGACCCGGGAAGAAUCAAACGUACAGGCAGAGGUUAAGUUAGUGUUUAGCGAAGAGUCCACUGAACCGAUCCCCAGCAACACCGACAUUGUGGAGACUCUAAAAGAAGCAGCAGCUAAUUCAACUGCGGGCUUCAACCUUACCCUUGAUGCCACCUCUAUUACUGUCAUUAAAUCAGUGCAGAUAAUUCCGCUGACAAUCCUCACCAACGGAAACUUUGUGGCUGCUCUUUCAAAUAAAAGUUCGGCUGAAUUUCAGAACAGGGCUUCGCUGAUAAAAACAGGGCUUGAACCUUUUUUCCUGGCUGAUUACCCUACAUCAUUCAGCACCAUAUCCGUAACAAACUUUAGUGAUGCCGGUGUAAAAUUAAGGAGUGUGCCCAAGAUCCGAAACAGCAUGGAUAUUGUAUUCGGAGCGGAUGCUGUUCUACCCAAUAGCACCCAGAUAGUGAACACUGUAGUUCGAGCAGCCAGGAACAAUACGCUACCCUUCCAGAUCUUCACUUCUUCAAUUAUAAUAAAUGGAACAGAAUUUUCAUCAGGUGAAGUCAGCAGCAGGAUCAGUAUGUUGACUACUUCGUUCCUGGUUGCGGUGUCACUUCUGGUUCCAUGGUUUAUCUGACCUUAACCACUCAUACCAAGAUAACUGAUUCAGACGGGUCUGAAUCUUGCCUUUCACGUCUGAUCAAAUUAAGGACUCAACUUAAGAAUAAAUGUAGCUACUGAUGCUACUUAAUCAGUAGUAAUGAAAGUAAAAAAUUAAAUUAUUCUAUUCUGAGCACUUUAAACUAGAUCUAAGCUAUAGUGGAUUUAUAGUGGAUCUGUAUGUACCUGUAUCUGUAUGUAAACAAUCAGUAUUGUAUAAAGCACUAUAUAAAUAAAGGCAAAUAUAAAUGUAUAUAAAUGUACUUGCAUGUUUUCAUAGAUUUACUUCAGAAC
rnacentral:lncRNA from 1 species